GUAUAAUAUCUUAGCAUAUUAGGGUUCUUGCAUCUCCUCUUUAAUUUGCAGCCAUGGUUCUGGAAAUUGAAGUCGCAACAGAGCAAUAAAGAUCCGUGAUCAUGCUAAAUAAAAUCGGUGCAAUUGGUUGUGAUGCUACGAUGCUUUUAUUAGGAGGCGCUUACUCUCUUAUUUCUCUCAUCUCCCGAACACUGUAGGAGAAAAAAAAAUCAGCAGCUAAUGAUUGUCCUUUUAUGAACGAAAAAAGAAAAAUGAUACUGAAGAGUUCACGGCAAGCUUGAUAUACUAAAUUGAAUGCUAAGGAGCUCAUGCCAUAGCCUCACACCAAAAGCCUUCCAUGCUAUGCAUCGUUUAAUUAAUCUAAAUGAUCAGGUGGGAGUUGCAUCAUCAUAGGAACGAUGGUGAUGUUUAAGUGAAGGUUGUCGUUGAAACCUUGUAAACAUAGGUGAUAGUCGGAAUUAUCCCAACUUGUGAUAGCUGCAAUUUUCACAAUUUACCACCAGUAGGAAUUUUCAUCAACAUGAGAUAAAUGUAAUUUUCACGAUUA